UACGAGAGGCCCAAACGUUAUUCGGAAUUACUGGGCUUAAAGAGUCCGUAGGCGGCGCAGAAAGUAGGGUGUGAAAGCCCUCGGCUUAACCGAGGAAUUGCGCUCUAAACUACUGUGCUUGAGGAACCUAGAGGUGAGCGGAACUGAUGGUGGAGCGGUGAAAUGCGUUGAUAUCAUCAGGAACACCGGAGGCGAAGGCGGCUCACUGGGGGUUAUCUGACGCUGAGGGACGAAAGCCAGGGGAGCGAAAGGG
rnacentral:rRNA from 1 species